UACGGGGGGGGCAAGCGUUGUUCGGAAUUACUGGGCGUAAAGGGUUUGUAGGUGGCUCGCUAAGUCACACGUGAAAUCCCUCAGCUUAACUGGGGAACUGCGUGUGAGACUGGCAAGCUUGAGGGCAGGAGAGGAACGCGGAAUUCCAGGUGUAGCGGUGAAAUGCGUAGAUAUCUGGAGGAACACCGGUGGCGAAGGCGGCGUUCUGGACUGCAUCUGACACUGAAAAACGAAAGCCAGGGGAGCAAACGGG
rnacentral:rRNA from 1 species